UGAGUAACACGUGGGCAACCUGCCCUGCACUCUGGGAUAAGCCCGGGAAACUGGGUCUAAUACCGGAUACGACUUCCCACCGCAUGGUGGGGGGUGGAAAGUUCCGGCGGUGCAGGAUGGGCCCGCGGCCUAUCAGCUUGUUGGUGGGGUAAUGGCCUACCAAGGCGACGACGGGUAGCCGGCCUGAGAGGGCGACCGGCCACACUGGGACUGAGACACGGCCCAGACUCCUACGGGAGGCAGCAGUGGGGAAUAUUGCGCAAUGGGCGAAAGCCUGACGCAGCGACGCCGCGUGAGGGAUGACGGCCUUCGGGUUGUAAACCUCUUUCAGCAGGGAAGAAGCGAAAGUGACGGUACCUGCAGAAGAAGCACCGGCUAACUACGUGCCAGCAGCCGCGGUAAUACGUAGGGUGCGAGCGUUGUCCGGAAUUAUUGGGCGUAAAGAGCUCGUAGGCGGCUUGUCACGUCGGAUGUGAAAACCCGGGGCUCAACCCCGGGCCUGCAUUCGAUACGGGCAGGCUAGAGUUCGGCAGGGGAGACUGGAAUUCCUGGUGUAGCGGUGAAAUGCGCAGA
rnacentral:rRNA from 3 species